rnacentral:tRNA from 1 species
AGCAGCGUGGCUCAGUGGAAAGAGCACGGGCUUGGGAGUCAGAGGUCAUGGGUUCGAACCCCGGCUCUGCCG